rnacentral:rRNA from 1 species
UAGGGAAUCUUCGGCAAUGGGGGGAACCCUGACCGAGCAACGCCGCGUGAGUGAAGAAGGUUUUCGGAUCGUAAAGCUCUGUUGUUAAGGAAGAACGAGUGUGAGAAUGGAAAGUUCAUGCUGUGACGGUACUUAACCAGAAAGGGACGGCUAACUACGUGCCAGCAGCCGCGGUAAUACGUAGGUCCCGAGCGUUGUCCGGAUUUAUUGGGCGUAAAGCGAGCGCAGGCGGUUAGAAAAGUCUGAAGUGAAAGGCAGUGGCUCAACCAUUGUAGGCUUUGGAAACUGUUUAACUUGAGUGCAGAAGGGGAGAGUGGAAUUCCAUGUGUAGCGGUGAAAUGCGUAGUUAUAUGGAGGAACACCGGUGGCGAAAGCGGCUCUCUGGUCUGUAACUGACGCUGAGGCUCGAAAGCGUGGGGAGCAAACAGG